GGUAUCCCAUACACCUCCCCCAGUUACUAUAGCUGCAACUUCGAUGCCUGAGGUGUUGACAGGGGACGAAAUGUCCCAGAUUGAUGACAUCACGCUCUCAGCGAUCGAUUUUGGCCUACAAGGCUAUACGGGUACCCCCUCCGCAUCUAGGGCUUGUCCUAAGAAAAAGAAUUCCUCGAAGAUGCCAAAACAUGCGAAGAAGCGGCCAUUGAGCUUUGUGGAUUUGUUGAAUGCACCUGAUU